rnacentral:sRNA from 1 species
GAGCGCCGCUGGGUAGGCGGAAGUAGCCGCAGGCAUGGCGGCGGCUAUGCCGCUUGCUCUGCUCGUCCUGUUGCUCCUGGGGCCCGGCGGCUGGUGCCUUGCAGAACCCCCACGCGACAGCCUGCGGGAGGAACUUGUCAUCACCCCGCUGCCUUCCGGGGACGUAGCCGCCACAUUCCAGUUCCGCACGCGCUGGGAUUCGGAGCUUCAGCGGGAAGGAGUGUCCCAUUACAGGCUCUUUCCCAAAGCCCUGGGGCAGCUGAUCUCCAAGUAUUCUCUACGGGAGCUGCACCUGUCAUUCACACAAGGCUUUUGGAGGACCCGAUACUGGGGGCCACCCUUCCUGCAGGCCCCAUCAGGUGCAGAGCUGUGGGUCUGGUUCCAAGACACUGUCACUGAUGUGGAUAAAUCUUGGAAGGAGCUCAGUAAUGUCCUCUCAGGGAUCUUCUGCGCCUCUCUCAACUUCAUCGACUCCACCAACACAGUCACUCCCACUGCCUCCUUCAAACCCCUGGGUCUGGCCAAUGACACUGACCACUACUUUCUGCGCUAUGCUGUGCUGCCACGGGAGGUGGUCUGCACCGAAAACCUCACCCCCUGGAAGAAGCUCUUGCCCUGUAGUUCCAAGGCAGGCCUCUCUGUGCUGCUGAAGGCAGAUCGCUUGUUCCACACCAGCUACCACUCCCAGGCAGUGCAUAUCCGCCCUGUUUGCAGAAAUGCACGCUGUACUAGCAUCUCCUGGGAGCUGAGGCAGACCCUGUCAGUUGUAUUUGAUGCCUUCAUCACGGGGCAGGGAAAGAAAGACUGGUCCCUCUUCCGGAUGUUCUCCCGAACCCUCACGGAGCCCUGCCCCCUGGCUUCAGAGAGCCGAGUCUAUGUGGACAUCACCACCUACAACCAGGACAACGAGACAUUAGAGGUGCACCCACCCCCGACCACUACAUAUCAGGACGUCAUCCUAGGCACUCGGAAGACCUAUGCCAUCUAUGACUUGCUUGACACCGCCAUGAUCAACAACUCUCGAAACCUCAACAUCCAGCUCAAGUGGAAGAGACCCCCAGAGAAUGGUGAGUGGGUGGUUGGUUGGACUGCUGGGUUGCAACGGCUACAGAGAAAAGACUCACAAUCCCACGUCUUUGCCGUUAGAUGAUUGGGUUGUAUUUAGACCAGAUCUCCAGAGUCAUAUGCUGCUGACUGUAGGUAUUCCAAGCUCUACAAUUUUGGGUAGGUUCCUAAACUCCCCAAGCUUCAGCAUCCACAUCUGAAAAAUAGAGUAUACUUAGCGAAUUGGAUGAGAUGAUGUGAAAAAUGGAGUUAGUUCAUGCAUUUGCUUAAUCAACCAAAUACUUUUGAAUUCAUACUAAGUGCCAGGCAUAGAGUGUUGAAUAAGACAGAGGACACUGCACUCAAGAAAUAUAAGUCUACUAGCUAGGGCAGGUGUCAGUUAAUUAAUUACAGUUGUGUUCAGUUCCCUUACCAAGGGAAAGAGCAGAAUAUCCUGAGAGGACCUGGAUUGGGUUCGAAGGGGGCACGGUGUUCGUCACGUAAGCACUUCAAUACUAGCAACCUAUUGUCAUCAUCGCUUGUUGGCUGGGGAAGACAGGGAUGAUUCCAGAACCCAGAUUGCCCAGUUUCAGUGGCAGGGCUGUUCCCCCAUCUACUCACUGGCUUGGGACUCUGAACAUGGCCUGGGCAGGUGGGGUGGGGAGUGAUUCUUACCUUUGGCAGCUGUUAACUGUUGCUAUUUCUUUACACAGAGGCCCCCCCAGUGCCCUUCCUGCAUGCCCAGCGGUACGUGAGCGGCUAUGGGCUGCAGAAGGGGGAGCUGAGCACACUGCUGUACAACACCCACCCAUACCGGGCCUUCCCGGUGCUGCUGCUGGACACCGUACCCUGGUAUCUGCGGCUGUAUGUGCACACCCUCACCAUCACCUCCAAGGGCAAGGAGAACAAACCAAGUUACAUCCACUACCAGCCUGCCCAGGACCGGCUGCAACCCCACCUCCUGGAGAUGCUGAUUCAGCUGCCGGCCAACUCAGUCACCAAGGUUUCCAUCCAGUUUGAGCGGGCGCUGCUGAAGUGGACCGAGUACACGCCAGAUCCUAACCAUGGCUUCUAUGUCAGCCCAUCUGUCCUCAGCGCCCUUGUGCCCAGCAUGGUAGCAGCCAAGCCAGUGGACUGGGAAGAGAGUCCCCUCUUCAACAGCUUGUUCCCAGUCUCUGAUGGCUCUAACUACUUUGUGCGGCUCUACACGGAGCCGCUGCUGGUGAACCUGCCGACACCGGACUUCAGCAUGCCCUACAACGUGAUCUGCCUCACGUGCACUGUGGUGGCCGUGUGCUAUGGCUCCUUCUACAAUCUCCUCACCCGAACCUUCCACAUCGAGGAGCCCCGCACAGGUGGCCUGGCCAAGCGGCUGGCCAACCUUAUCCGGCGUGCCCGAGGUGUCCCCCCACUCUGAUUCUUGCCCUUUCCAGCAGCUGCAGCUGCCGUUUCUCUCUGGGGAGGGGAGCCCAAGGGCUGUUUCUGCCACUUGCUCUCCUCAGAGUUGGCUUUUGAACCAAAGUGCCCUGGACCAGGUCAGGGCCUACAGCUGUGCUGUCCAGUACAGGAGCCACGAGCCAAAUGUGGCAUUUGAAUUUGAAUUAACUUAGAAAUUCAUUUCCUCACCUGUAGUGGCCACCUCUAUAUUGAGGUGCUCAAUAAGCAAAAGUGGUCAGUGGCUGCUGUAUUGGACAGCACAGAAAAAGAUUUCCAUCACCACAGAAAGGUCGGCUGGCAGCACUGGCCAAGGUGAUGGGGUGUGCUGCACAGUGUAUGUCACUGUGUAGUGGAUGGAGU